UACUUUGAUUACAUUCAAUAUUUGAACAAAAACUCACUAUUAUUCUUUGGAGUCCCCCCCGCCCCCUGAAGUUGGACCUGCUGAAAAGGAAGCAUUUGAUAAUUCCGAGCAUCCUUAGACGAUGGCUCCCGGACUUGCCACCACUGGGAACUCCCCCUGUUGUCUCUGCAGGGAAGACUCCAUGCCAGCAGCAUUCGGGUCUGGUGGGCGAGCUGACCAGCGCAGCCUGCCAGGGAAGCAGCCAGCCAGAACCUCGGGAGGAUGGAGCCGGACUGAGCAUCGUGGUUCCCUCACCCGCAAGCCCAAAUUCUCAGUCAUAAUCCUCGAACAACUAUGGAAGAUUCAUAUCUUUUUCAAUUGCCAGCAUUAAAAUAUCUAGACAUGGGAGCAACACAAGUGUCACUUGGACCAGUCCAAAACAUCCUCAUGAUGACUCUUGAAUUGGAAAAACUGAUAUUACCUAGGCAUCUCACCUGCUGCCUCUGCCAAUUUAAGAAUAAAAUAGACUCUGUCUGCAAAGUAGU